GACGAACCGAGCGAACGUUGUUCGGAAUCACUGGGCUUAAAGGGCGCGUAGGCGGAUUCUCAAGUCCGGGGUGAAAUCCCACAGCUCAACUGUGGAACUGCCUCGGAUACUGGGAGUCUCGAGGGUGGCAGGGGUAUGCGGAACUAUCGGUGGAGCGGUGAAAUGCGUUGAUAUCGAUAGGAACUCCGGUGGCGAAGGCGGCAUACUGGUCCACUUCUGACGCUGAGGUGCGAAAGCGUGGGGAGCAAACAGG
rnacentral:rRNA from 1 species